AAUUUUUUAAUAUAUAAAGUAUAUUUGAUUUACAAUCAAAAAGACUGAUUCCUAGAAAAAUUA
rnacentral:tRNA from 1 species